CCUAGCUGUUUGCUCUUUUCUCAAAGGUCUUAAGAUCACAGAAAUCCAUCCAAGAACAAUAGCCGUUUCUAGGCUCUGAGUCCUGGAGGAGAGGACAAGGCGAGCUCCAGGCAAUUGUAGAGCUGGGAACUUGAAGAAGGAGGAGGGCCGCCUGCCACGGAUCCUGCACGCCACCACAGCCUGUCCCUCCUGGAUUCAGGGGUCCCAGGACUUCCCUGAACCCUCAGCUGCAGUCAGGCCUGUGUACUCCCCCACAUGGGUCUGUGAGGAAGUCUGGCAUGUGUUGGGUCAAGGUCUCAGCUACAUGGCCUCUGAGUGGCACUUGGCCUACCUUGAGCCCUUCUCCUGGAAUCAAAUGCCUAGGAACCAGAACACCUUCACCCAGCCACCUGUGCUUAGAAAUACUGCACUUACACGAAGACUCAUUGAGCCACGGAGGGCCUUGUUCUCCCAGGCCAUCAAGCCACCCAAUAUCCCUUUUCACCCCAAGGUAUGGUCUUCCCUCCACUCAGGCCUGCCUGGCCCUGUGUGGCUACAUCUCCCUAAGGCUUCUGCACAGAAAUGUGGCUGAAUGCUGCCCCAGCUUGAAAUUCAAAGAAAGGUCAUGAAAGAAGGGGGUCCGCCUAACACAGAGGAACUGAAGAAGCCUGGGUCCUGUGUCCGGGACUGGUAGAGACUGCGCCACAACCCUGACUCACCUGCUCCUUCUGGUCUACUCACACCCUGCAGCUGAGCUCUGCAGACAGUUGCUCUGGGCAGCUUGUUCUGCUGAAAAGCCGUUGAGGGCUCCUUUGCUGCAUGGCCCUGACUCACCUGUCCCUGCACCCCACUGCGAAGCCCAGGUGCCACACUGAAGUACCCUGUUCCCCAAACCUCCCCUGUACUUUCUAGCCCCUGGAAUUUGGGUCUCCUGGACACACGGGUCCUAUCCUGAAGAAGGGCACCCAAAACUAGAAAGGCCAAGGACCUAUAGCUGCAGCUGGGCAGGAAAAAGUGAGGGGAGUCGGCAGCCUGUGCUCACCUCGGCUCUGCCAGCAACUGGCCCCAAGACCCUGGACAGGGGCUCCCCUCUCCAGGCCUCGGCAUCGUCAUCUACAAACGGUGGGUGCUGGCCCAGUCACCUCCACAGGCGUCUUCUAGCACCUCCAGAAACUCCAGCCUCCAGGGCCCCAGGCUGUCAUCCCCCACCCCUUGUCUUAGUUCAGGAUAUUACAGCAAAGCUCCAGAGACAGGGUGGCUUAUAAGUAACAGAUGUUUAUCGCUCACAGUCCUGGAGGCCGGGAAGUCCAAGAUCAAGGCACUGGAAGCCUGCAUGUUUGGCUACAGGUGAGAAAGGAGUGGAGGAGUCCAUUCACUCAUCACAGUGGACAAGCCUCCCUUCCCAGCACAAGGGACUUGCUUGAAGCUCACCAGGGGCAAUGCACUCCCCAGAGCUCGCCAACCCAGCCUUGCCAGCCCACUCUUUCCAAGAUGGCUGAGGUAAUUAGAGCGGGAUAAAUCUGGAUCAAUUGUCCCUCUUCCCACUGAGGAGGCUUUGGGGAUUCUGGGAGAGUGCGGGGUCCUACUGCCUGAGUCAUUAACUUCUGUGCUAUAACAGAGAACUCUCCCUGGGACAUCUCUGGAGGCAGAAGACAAGUAGUCCUGUGGCUGAGGGCUGCGUCUGAAGAAGCUCGUCAGCUGAAUUAUUAAUGGGACUCUGAGUACUGCUCAAGUUUCCUGUGACAGAUGGCUUGGCGAGCUGAUGGUUCUGAGACCAAUUAAGAAUGAGUGUGGAUUCUGAGGCAGCACCACAUCCACGAGAGUCUUAAAAUGUCUCCAGAAGAUACCAAGGAAAUUCACAGCCAGCUGUCUCCUGGGACACCAGCAGGAUCCAGCAAAGAAGAAGGGAUGCCAGAAGCUGCAAGGCCCAGGGCCACUGUCCCCCAGCCCAAGGCAUCACCAACCAGAAUGCUAAAUACAGCAGAGGUCUGGGCCUUCAGAGGUCUCUGGUCUUUGGGCUCCUCGGGGUCUUAAGCCUUAGGAAAAUAAUGUGAUGUGACAAGAGGGAGCCAGUCCAGAAAUUUAAUUUAAUGAAAAGGUAAUUUCAACAAAGCUAGACAAGACUGUGUGCAUCAGGGAUUCCCAGGCUCUUUACUGCAUCCCAUGUAUCUAGAAGAGGGGAAAUAUAUAAUCAGACUUCCACAGUCAUAGGUUCUGUGUCCAAGAAUUCAACCAACCAGACUGAAAACAGUGGAGGGGAAGUAUUGUGUUUGUACUGAAGAUGCACAUUUUUUUCUUCUCAUUCUUCCCUAAACAAUAUAGUAUAACAACUACUUACACAGCA